CAAGACUCCUGUGCUCUUCUCAGCGCUGGAAGUGCUUCAUUCCUCCCUAGUGCCCUGAGAGCUCCCUUGGCCGCCCAGUGCACUGCUCUUAUGCAUACGCAUGUUAAAGUCAAGGCCCCUGCCCCAGUGCGGACGGACCCCAUAGAGCCAGGGGAACGGGACGCUCACUCUGACUGAUCGAUGUGCCCGAGUCCUAGCUGGCAGCUCACAUUACGGGUCCGCCUCAAGUUCAGAUUUCUACAUGCUAUAAAGAUCUCCAUGUAAGAAGAUGGAUUCGCAGGGCUCGGUGACUGCGCAUUGGCAGACUGAAGACAUGAAAGUUGCAUCUGAACCUAAGGUGAUUCUUGAAACUUCGUACCAUAAUGCUUGUCUUUGGCAUUUACUUCUUUGCUG
rnacentral:lncRNA from 1 species